rnacentral:antisense_RNA from 1 species
UAAUAUGAUGGCUCAGGUAGGAUAGCCGUAAGGCUCACCGGUUUAUCAACUCGGUCUUUCAAAUCUGCUUGGGCUAUCACCCAG